GAUGAAGAACGUAGCGAAACGCGAUAUGUAAUGUGAAUUGCAGAAUUCAGUGAAUCAUCGAAUCUUUGAACGCACAUGGCGCCUUCCAGUAUCCUGGGAGGCAUGCCUGUCCGAGCGUCGUUUCAACCCUCGAGCCCCAGUGGCCCGGCGUUGGGGAUCUGCCACGGCAGGCCCCUAAAACCAGUGGCGGACCCGAAGGCCCUCUCCUUUGCGCAGUAGCAUCAGCCUCGCAUUGGGAUCCCUCGGCGUCCUGCCUCUAAACCCCCCACAAGUCCGCUCCGGCGGCACCAAGGUUGACCUCGGAUCAGGUAGGAAUACCCGCUGAACUUAAGCAUAUCAAUAAGCGGAGGA
rnacentral:misc_RNA from 1 species